GCCAGACCCCCACGUCCUCCCGCCCCGUUCCUCCCGCACCUGUUCGCCGCCCUUCGCCCCACCACCCCCCUCCUACCGGAGCCGCCCCCGCUGGAUCCGCCCUUCGCCGCACCCCGUUGGAGCCGCCCCCUGCCGCGUUGGAUCCGCCCUUCGCCGCCCCCCCUCCCCCGUGCCGCUGGAGCCGCCGUCGGAGCUGCCCUUCGCCGCAGGCCGCCGCCGAGCCGCUCGCCGCUGUUCCUCUUCUGCUUCACGUGAGACUACAGGUGCACGGGCGGGAGGAUUUCCCUAGCCCUACCCCGUCCUCUCAUCUCUCGAUCUGAUUGAAGCCACGGCCCGGGAAUGGCAGCUGAGUCGUCGGCGGUGGCCGGCAUGCGGAAGGCGCCCUCCAUUGAGUGGCGGUGGGUGUCCGCGGGGGAGGAGGAGGACGACAAGCUGGAGGGCCCGCGGCCGUCGGGGCGGCGGGAAGGGGAUGCAGCUUCGAGUCCGAGGACGAGGAGGACAACGUCGACUACGAGGACGAGGACGAGGAGCACUGGGAGGCCAGGAAACUCCUGUCACGCACGGCCACCGCCCAACUGCCUCGCGGCCACCCCCGUCCGCUGGUGGCGAUCUUUGUGCCUCCAACCGAUGGCGAUGAACCAUGCCUUUUUCAUGGAGCAGACGAUAUUGGAUCUGAGUUCGUGAAGGAGGAGCAAAUGGAUAUUUGGAUUUGUGUUGCUCCUUAUGAAUAUAUGUACAAACAUGUUUUCUUCAGGUUAUUACGCUUAACAGUGAUGAUCUAAUCUUAGAAGAUUUAAGUUCAUGAAGGAUAAUAAAAUUUGCGGCGUACCUGUAGCAGAAGGUCCUAAAAGGAAACUUUUGGUAGUGUGAGCAUAGGGAUAUUUGUUACCGUCUUGAAGUUCAUGAAGGCUUACUCUUACUGAUUCAGGGGGCACCUGCAUUAUUCGGUAUUUUGGUACAACUUAAGUAUAGGAUAUGCACCUUCCAUUUGUCUAUGCAUAAUUUUUCUGCUCAUGCAUGGUGCAUACUUUUGACUUACAUAUGAUGUAUUCAGCGAUGUCAUUGGUGACUCAUGUGAAGUUGAUGUUUUUGAUUCAGGUGCAAUGACACCGUGGCAGCCAUGGAGAAUAUAUGCAUGAAGCCGUGAGCAGUAAGCAGCUUAGCUAUUUAUUAUUGUUGGCCUUUUGAGUUUGAUAGUAUUGCUGGAUUACCUGCAUAUUAGAUGAUGAGUAGCUUGAGAAAAGCAAACCUUAUCAUUUCUAAAAUGUGCUGUUUUUUAGCAUAAUUAAUCGUCGUGUGCUUAUACCAAUUAUACACUGCUAGAUAGACAUGCAUAAGUAUGCAGGUUGACGCAUAAGUCAUUUUACAGUAUGAUGAUGGUGACAAUCAACUGAGCUUCAACAACUUAUAACUGCAUGGCGAGUGGUCGAAUGCAUGCCUCCCCACACCUCUGUCGAUCCUUUUUUUCUGGGAGAGGCGUUUUAGCUCCCGGAGGGUGUUUCAGCGGUGUGCUCGAGGACGAGCGUUGACAGCGCGGGUGUCCGAUUUCCAGCGGCGCAGACAUGGCGAUGGAUUUCUCCAUCUCUCCGGUAGACAGGUUGCCCAUCUUCCCGGAUGAGGCGGCUAGCGCGGUGGCCCUAAUGGAUUUGAUUGGUGGCGAAGAGGAAUCCGCCAAUGGAUCUUGUGGGGCUGUUGUCGCCGGAUUUGCGCAUGGCUCAUCUGGGCAGUUCGUACGUGGUGUUGUGUGCAGCAAGGAGAGGACUGUAGCUACCGGUGGAGCCGCCAUGUCCGGUUUCAGUGAGAGCGAGGGUGACAACGCAGAUGCAAUUGACCAAGCCAAUGACCAAAGCACAUAUUGAUGAACACCAAGAGGCUGUGAUUCAAGAUCGAACUGAAAGUGGUGAUGGAGGGUCUGCUCAAUCUACUACUUGCAAGGUGGAUCCGCAAGCCCCUGGGUGGACUUAGAGGUAAUAGGCAUUUACUUAUAAGAGAGUAAGAGUCGGGAAUCAGCCAACGGAUAGAGCCCCAUGCCCAGAAAGAUUAGGCGCGCUGGAGGAGACAAUUCGAGGGCAUGCAGAUAAAUUGGGGGACCAUGUAGUUGAGCCUGCUAUUGGCUUAACAUUCGACUCCUUGGGUGAAGCAUAUGAUUUUUGCAACCUUUAUUCGUGGGAGCAUGGUUUCGGUAUCAGGACACCCUGUCCCAGCGGGCUCGGCACAUUCUCCGCUCCGCUGAAAUUACAGGACACCCUGUCCCAGCAGGCUCGACACUCUCCGCUCCGCUGAAAUUACAGGACCGGACACUAUGUCUGGAAAGAAUUGGUGCACUGGAGCAAAUGAUUUAGGGGUAUACAGAUUAGUUGGGUGAGCACGGUGCUAUUGGGCUAACACUAGACUCUAUGUAAGAAACCUAUGAUUUUUACAAUCUUUAUUCAUGGAAGCAUGGUUUCGCCAUUAGAUAUUAUGGGAAAAGUAGGCUUAAUGUCGGGAAGACAAAAUGUAUGAAGGAAGUUGUCUGCGGAUGGUUGGGAGAGGAGAGUGGCGCAGCAGUGGUGGCAGGAGGAAGAAGAUUGCUCCAUCCAUCAGUUGGCCGAGCUCCGGCGUCCUCACGUCAGGCUUGGCUUGGAGUAUUGACAAUGAAGCAUUCUACAUGGUAUGCAUCCAGAUCCGCUUCAUCUGCUAGACGCUAAAUCGAGUCAAUGGACCAGUUGGCUAGAAUUAGAAAUUAACUGCGUGUAUUUUGUGUUUGCGCCUCCGUGUAUUUUGCUGGACGCUUAGUGUGUUCAUCGCUGGGAGGAACUAUCUCUAAAUUAGUUGUUAUUAUUGCAGUGUAGUAGCCAACGUGCGUGUGGACUAAUGUUUAAUUAUGUGAGAUUACCCCAAAAUGCUUGAUGCUGUUAAGCUGCAAAA